rnacentral:tRNA from 1 species
GCCAACGUAGCUCAGUGGCAGAGCAGCGGUUUCGUAAACCGCAGGUCGUGGGUUCAAAUCCCACCGUUGGCUCCA